GAAGAUUUUGUAGUGCUUUCCUCUCUAUAAACCCACAUUUGGGUUCUUGUUUUCAGUUUUUGAAACAUACAUUUUGUUCUCUCUCUCUCUGCUAUUCCUUCGAUGCUCUUUUAUUCCCUGCCUAGUUCUCUCUCACUUCAAAAUAAGAGUAAAAUACGCAAUCUCUCAUUAGCCACCACCUCCAGUUGUGUUCUUUGUUUCAGUGCUUCACAUUCUAUUUCCCUCUCUUGUUUCGCCAUUUAAGAACCAUAUUCUUUACUCAGCUUUAACACGUUGCCUCUCUCUAGUUUUUGUUUUUUUGUUCCUUUUCAUUUUAAAAUUCUUGCCAUUCUGGACUUUAAUGCAUUGGUUUUCUUUUUCUGGACUUUAAUGCAUUGGUUGUCUUUGUGAGAUUAUUGAAGUUGUAGUGAGCGAGACAGAAAUCUAGACAAGAUGGGUAAAGCUGCAAGGUGGCUAAAGGGCUUCUUGGGGAUGAAGAAAGAUAAAGAGAAAGAAAGAGACAAUGGUGGUGACACUUCAAGUUCAAUUUCAAGCGAAAAGAGAGAGAAAAAAAGAUGGAGUUUUGGCAAUUCAGGAAGGGAUAACAGUUUGAUCCCUCAGAUUCCUGAGAACCUUCAGGUAAAAGAUGUUGCCUGGCUCAGAUGCUACCUUGCUGAGACAGAAAGAGAGCAGAACAAACACGCAAUAAUGGUGGCAGCUGCCACGGCUGCAGUAGUCGACGCCGUAGUGGCUGUAGCACAGGCAGCGGUGGCGGCAGUGAGGCUGACCAGCAAUGGCAGAGGGACAUUGUUUGGUGGUGGGACGGAGAGGUGGGCUGCAAUCAAAGUUCAAACUGUUUUCAGAGGCUUUUUGGCUCGAAAAGCUCUUCGAGCAUUGAAAGGACUAGUUAAGAUACAGGCGCUUGUUAGAGGCUAUCUGGUCCGAAAGCGGUGUGCUGCUACUCUUCACAGUAUGCAUGCUCUUAUGAGAGCUCAAACUUCGGUUAGAUCCCAACGUGCUCGUCGUUCUGUAAAAAAGGAGAACAUAUUUCAACCUAAAAAUCGACCACGGAAAUCAAUCGAAAGAUUUGAUGGUGCAAGAAGUGAAUCCACAGCGAAGGGUUGUAUGCAUCUUACGAAAUGAAUGCAUUUGAUGAAAGCCUAAAAAUAGUUAAAAUUAACACAUACAAACCAAGAUCAAGAUCUCCUAGAAUCACUGCUUCCUUAUCAGAAUGUGAUGAAGAAUUCCCUUACUAGGCAAUCUCAUCACCUCUUUCAUGUUCGAUUCCAGCUCGAAUCACCAUACCCAAUUACAAAAAUUGCCAAGAUUUUGAUUGGUACCUCACUGGUGAAGAAUGUAGGUUCUCCACAGCCCAUAUCACUCCAAGGUUUUCAAACUCUAUCCGGUCAAAUGCCCCUGCUACACCAGCCAAGAUCGUUUGUGGAGACAGUUACUUUAGGCCUUAUUCAAACUUCCCUAAUUAUAUGGCAAACACACAAUCCUUCAGGGCCAAAUUGAGGUCUCACAGUGCUCCAAAGCAACGGCCAGAGCCAGGGCAAAAGAAGAGGCUUUCACUCAAUGAAAUAAUGGUAGCAAGAAAUAGCAUAAGCAGUGUUAGAAUGCAGAGAUCAUGUUAUCAAGUUGAUGAAGGUCUAGAUUUUUAACAGGUUUCUUAAACAAAGACAUCCUAUCCAGAAAUCAAUUCAAAAUGUAAAAGUUGAAGCAACACAAGUUCUUUUAGGCUUUUCUCUUCAACUAAUGUUGACAACCAUUAGGAUAGAUCAAAGAGUGGUUUGUGUAAAUUCUUUUCAACAGUUCAUGUUGACCUUUGCCUUAUCAAAUGAAGUGGGAGCUGCUUUUC
rnacentral:misc_RNA from 1 species